CACGAAGGUUCCGGACUUGAGAAGCCCCCCACCCCGCACCGCAUGGAGCUCCAUUCGCCUCCACCAUGGUGCCACUGCGAGCAGCUCCGCCCCCUGCCCCCCCGGUCGGCGGAUCCCCCACCCCGCCAGGGAUGCUAAAGGUCGCGGCAAGUGGCUCUACUGCCACUCCACUCCGCGGCGGUGCCAGCGUUGAUGACCACCUCUCGGCCUACUGCUACUUCUUCUCCAGCAUGGGUCUAAUCCAUGUCGCGAUACGGGGUUUGGACAUUUUGGGCUAGGUUGUUCAGCAUGGGUCUGGUGAAUGAAGGCAUCGACAUGAAGGAGGGAAACCUAGAGAUCGGCAUAGCAAUUCUUUUGCAUGACGAUUAGUUUUUUUUUAUUAAUCUGUGUUAGAUCUUCAAAUACACGCAAUCCAAUCUUGAAGAUCUGGUUAAAUAAGUAUGCUGCUUGUACCAUAAACCGUGUGCGACGCAAAUUUCAGUAAGUGCAUUUUGCUGAUGUAUUGUGAUAGUAGACCGACCUUCCUUCUGCAGAGUGGAACCAAAGGUAUUUGAUGAGUUCUUUGGCAUGCCACAUAGCAGAUUUGACCGGGAAGCUUGCAGGUCUACUAUCUGUCCUGAUUUUUGUAUCUGUGUGUCUUCCUUCAUGUUCAAAAUGGUGAUUCAGUUUAUAUGAGAGUAUUGUCUUAGUGUUUGUGUGGAUAACAUCAAUAUGGUGUACGACGAUGAGUUUCCUGAACUUAGUACUUUCAAGUGUGUGACAAGAAAGGAAAGUAGCAAGCUGGAAAGCAAGAACCAAGAUAAAUUGUUUGAUGCAUAUAUCAUGUAUGGUUCUGCAAUACAAUCUACAACACACCAGAUUAUAUGUGAAGGUCAGAUUUUAUCAUCUCAGAUUUGUUGAUUUCAAUAUUUUAUGGAGUCCCUAUGGUUUGCCAACUUCACUAACGAUGGAAUUGAUUGAAAUCCUUUUUGAGAAAUGAAUAGCCAAUAAAUUUCUCAUGGGAAGAGGGUAAGCAAUGGCCAAUGUUCAGGGAUUGGAUACAUAGUUGCAUUUACAUGUCAAUGUCAUCUUCACAUAGUAGAUAGAAUUGUACACAAUUUUCAGUAAUAUUGGCACUGUAGAUAUGGUCUGUAUUUAACAGUGUUGUUGACUUCUUAGUGAUUUGCUGAAAUAAUGACGCAUAACUACGCUUAUAUCGAGAAGGGGAGAAAGGAUCAACUGUCACCGUCUCCGUCGGCAACAUCAGCCAUGUUGACAGCCCGCGCUCUGUGUGCCCUCCUCCCCACGCAUUUGAUGGCCUAUGUUUUUUUCUUCUCCCUCACGCUGCAGGUACCAACACUCUUAGACUUGUGUCUUCUUGGUGUCAGGGUUUUCUUCUAUCCUCCCGCUUCGUGCACUUCCCCCACAGGCCCACACCAUUCCUACCCAUUGACGAGCAAGACCUAUGUGUUCCCAACACCCCGUUCAACUGUCACCCAAAUGCAGAGAUUGUUUUACUGCUGCAGAGCUUAGUGGCGUGGUCCAACAACUUACUACAUGAUGACGAUCAGCACCGGCAAAGCUUAAGUGUGAGAAAUAGAAAUGCUCCCUGUAAGGAAUGUCCACCGCAUAGCAUAGUUGUUGACGCCUUUUUGGAGCGCCAAACACUCAACAAAAACUGUGGCGAUGCUCUCUGGUCAGGCGCGGACGGUCCGCGACCUGGCGCAGGGGCUAGGGUUUCCUACCUGACGGCCGGACGGUCCGCGUCCUGGGGUCGGACGGUCCGCGCGUGCGCAGGGGCGGCGGAAGAUCGCCGGCGGCGCCUGGAUCUCGCUCCCGGGAGGGACCCUGUCGGGGAGGAGAGAUCCUAGGAGUUGUCUAGGCUCGGGCAGGUUGACCUAGACUCCUCUAAUCAACGUAGAGUCGAAGAGAGGUGAAGAAUUUGAGAAUCGGAAGGCUAAACUAGAACUAAACUAGAACUACUCCUAGGAAAUAAAUUUGAUAUAGAAGUGUUUUGAUUCGAUUGAUGAUG